GCGGAGAGCGAACGAGGGCGUCGGCCAUUUUGUGUCUGUUUCCUGUGGGACGCGGUUGUGGCCGUUGGUUCGGAAAAGUGAGCGAUUUAUUUCCUCGUUUUUCCUGCUUCUUUUCUCCUCCCUUUAAUUUGUCGGUAGGACGCAGCUAUGGGUCGCAAGAAGAAGAAGCAGCUGAAGCCGUGGUGCUGGUAUUGUAAUAGAGAUUUUGAUGAUGAGAAGAUCCUUAUACAACACCAAAAGGCAAAGCAUUUUAAAUGCCAUAUAUGUCAUAAGAAACUAUACACAGGACCUGGCUUAGCUAUUCAUUGCAUGCAGGUGCAUAAAGAGACAAUAGAUGCUGUACCGAAUGCAAUACCUGGCAGAACAGACAUAGAAUUGGAAAUAUAUGGUAUGGAAGGUAUUCCAGAAAAAGACAUGGAUGAAAGACGGCGACUUCUUGAACAGAAAACUCAGGAGAGUCAAAAAAAGAAGCAACAAGAUGAUUCAGAUGAAUAUGAUGAUGAUGAUUCUGCAGCCUCAACUUCAUUUCAACCACAGCCUGUUCAACCUCAGCAAGGUUAUAUCCCCCCAAUGGCUCAGCCAGGACUGCCACCAGUUCCAGGAGCACCAGGAAUGCCUCCAGGCAUACCUCCUCUAAUGCCAGGUGUUCCUCCUCUGAUGCCAGGAAUGCCACCAGUUAUGCCAGGCAUGCCACCUGGAUUGCAUCAUCAGAGAAAAUACACCCAGUCAUUUUGCGGUGAAAACAUAAUGAUGCCAAUGGGUGGAAUGAUGCCACCUGGACCAGGAAUACCCCCUCUGAUGCCUGGUAUGCCACCAGGUAUGCCCCCCCCUGUUCCACGUCCUGGAAUUCCUCCAAUGACUCAAGCACAGGCUGUGUCAGCACCAGGUAUUCUUAAUAGACCACCUGCACCAACAGCAACAGUACCUGCUCCACAGCCUCCAGUUACUAAGCCUCUUUUCCCCAGUGCUGGACAGAUGGGGACACCUGUAACAAGCUCAAGUACAGCUUCAUCCAAUUCAGAAAGUCUGUCUGCAUCUUCUAAAGCUCUGUUUCCUAGCACAGCACAAGCUCAGGCAGCUGUGCAAGGACCUGUUGGUACAGAUUUCAAGCCCUUAAAUAAUACCCCUGCAACAACUACAGAACCCCCAAAGCCUACAUUCCCUGCUUAUACACAGUCUACAGCUUCAACCACUAGUACAACAAAUAGUACUGCAGCAAAACCAGCAGCUUCAAUAACAAGUAAGCCUGCUACACUUACAACCACCAGUGCAACCAGUAAGUUGAUCCAUCCAGAUGAGGAUAUAUCACUGGAAGAGAGAAGGGCACAAUUACCUAAAUAUCAGCGGAAUCUUCCUCGACCUGGACAGGCCCCCAUCGGUAAUCCACCAGUUGGACCAAUUGGAGGUAUGAUGCCACCACAGCCAGGCAUCCCACAGCAGCAAGGAAUGAGACCCCCAAUGCCACCUCAUGGUCAAUAUGGUGGUCAUCAUCAAGGCAUGCCAGGUUACCUUCCUGGUGCUAUGCCACCGUAUGGGCAGGGACCUCCAAUGGUACCCCCUUACCAAGGUGGGCCUCCUCGACCUCCAAUGGGAAUGAGACCUCCUGUAAUGUCGCAAGGUGGCCGUUACUGAUCUUGCUUCAUCCAGUUUAAUAGGUUUUUAGAAGUGAAGUAUAGUAAAUUUGGUUCGUUAAAUUGUGAAGGCGCUGGAAUUACAUGAACAUACCACCUUAAUAAAGCCCUGCCAUAGGACAGGCUGAGGCUGAGUCUCAGUGUUGCCCUGUUCAGUCUGAGGCAAGUGGGAUUUAUUUUAUUCCUUAUAGGGGCUUUCACAGCUUUAUGGCUGUUGGAUAUUUAUGUCCCCAAACUUGCAGCAAGUUUGGUGAAGGCCCCUAAAUUUAAUUAAACUUAGGAUUUUUAUAUUCUUUGGGCAGAGAAGGCUCUAUAUUAAUAUUCACGUUUGACUGUGGUGUUAAUAAACAGAUGCAAAGUACUUUAUAUUACGUAAUUAAUGGCUUCAGUAAAGCUUUCAUUAUUGUAUUGAACCUGAGUAAAUUGACAAUUUGACAUUCUUAAUUUGGAGGCAUGAAAUGUUUCAUUCAAAAUUUUCACUUUCAUUUCUAGGAAAAUCUUACUGGUUAUUUUCUCUGCAAACUAUUAAAUUUAACCUCAAGGAUAAGUUAAUUAUUGGAAAUGCCACAGGGUACUGAAAUCUGUAUAAUCCCAAGCUUAUACUUUGAACAUCAAGGUUGAAAGGUCAUCUGGAAAUGCUUGUGAUUUUUAAUAUUUUAAAACCUCACCACAUUAGAGCAAAUGUUAAUGUAGAGCCCUGUGAAGAGUGGGAAGGUGGUAUGUCUUUGUGUGCUUGUGUGGUGUGUAUGGGUGUAGACUACACGUGAUAUAAUUAAAGGGUUUGGGUAUUACAGACCUGUCAACCUGGAUAGAUGACUAAUUUUUAGGAAACCAAACUAAAAUUGGAUCAUGUGGCAAAGUUAAAAAUAUAUUAAACUGGUUUUGGAACGAUUAUUUCAAAGUUUAUGCUCUUACUGAACAGUGUUUUAUGCAAUAUGCACAAAUGAAUAGUAUCCUUGUUUGUUUCCAAGCAAGAUUUGCUUUUAUUUGGUGAGAAAAGUUGUAUGUCUGUGUGUUUUUUAAAGGGGAUAAAGAGGGAAUUGGAAGAGGGGCCGAAACAAACCUGGGUUGUUUGUUCCUUCUUGUGGGUUAAGACAUCAUCCUAUCCAGAUAGCAUUUUCCUCUGAGCAAGAGCAAUUAACAUACAGUAUAAUGUUUAGCAAACUUCAUAUUGUAUUUUCAUUCUUGGAAGUGUAAAAUUCAUUAAAAGAAUUCCAAAUUUUGACCCAUUUAUUAGAAUACAUGCUUUUCGUUGUAACUGAAUUAUGGGAAAGGUUUUUAAUAGUAAAGAGUAUUGUUGCUUCAAUGACAGAAUAGUUCUCUGGAAUAUUUUAUAACAAUAAUUACAUGUUUUAAGACUAAUUGGAGAUCUGUUUUAUAUUGCACCCACCAUUCUCCAAUAUACUGGAAUCUCUUGAAGUUGUUUGAUCUAAUUUUAAUAAUAAUUGAAAUAAAUAAAAGUGGAAUAGGUUUGAGUAAUGGGAGGGGCUUUACUAAUGGUGCCAUAAAUUGAUAAUAUCUAAUUUAAAAUAUAUCCUUUGAAAUAUUUGUAGAUUGUGACUCAGACACAGUUUUGAGAAUUACAUAAUUCAGGUGUCCAUAAUGACCACUGGUAAAACUUGGUGAAUGAAAGGAAACUGAAGUCACUUCACUGAGUUAGCUGAUAAAAGUAGGCACAGAAGACAUUUGUGUUGCUGGGCACUUCUGUAAUUCCAGCAACUUGGAAGGCUGAGGCAGGAGGAUUUACAAAUUUGAGGUCAGUUUAAGCAACUUAGUGAGACCCUAAACAACUUAGUGAGACCUGUAUCAAAAUAAAUAUAAAGGGUUGUGGGUUGCAGCUCAGUGGUAAAGUGCCCCUGAGUUCAGUACCCACUACUACAUCAAAAUACUUGUAUUGUUUAGGGGAUAAAGAAACAUUAAAUAUUUACCCUAAAAUAUUUUUAUAAAUUAAAUGUCUUUUUUUAAAAGGUGACGUUACCUACGUAGUAUUGAAAUCUUUGUACAUUCUUCCAAAAAUGAAACUCGUUUUAUUGUAACUUUUAUGGAAAGUUUUCCAAAAGGAGACUGGCCUAUAGGGCAGGUUUUUGUAAGUAAACGUUCUGCUAACUACCCUUAUUUCUUAGUGUUUACUUUUGUUUUCUGUCUUUCAAGCCAUUUUUAUUACUUUUGUUUUUUAUAGUGAAGAAAUCAUCUGACUUUUCUGUGUCCUUAGCAAAAUAAGCACCUUAACAAUAUUGUACAUGUGGAGUCAUGCAUAUAGUGGGCAUUCAUGAUUUUGUAAUUGCUGCAUUUUCAAGACUACAAAAUUUUGAGCUCCUCUUGUGAAUUUAAUUCAAGUGAAUGUGUGAGAAGUGGGGAAAAUAGGACUUCAGUUUGAACUCCCUAAAAUUGAAUACAUCCAACUUUUACAAAUUUUUUUUAAUAAGUUUAAUUAUUUUUUCUGACAUUUUUAAAGUGAUACAUGAUAUAUAUGGGGUACAGUUUUCCAAGUGUUUAAACCUUUAAAUUUCCAACCUCUUAAACAUUCUUACAUGGCAUUUUUGUUAGGAUAUAGAUUGAAGUAUUUUUAAGAGAAUGUUUUCAAUAAGACUUAGAAGGGAAUUGCUUUUAACAAGCACUCUUUCUUGGUCUGUGCUGGGUACAUUCUUGUGUAAUGUUUUGGGCUUCAAAGGAAGAGCCUUUCAUUUUCUUCUCAACUCUGGACAGUAGUUCAAAACUAAAUUGGUUGAAGCCAGGUGCAGUGGUGCCUGCGUGUAAUCCCAGUGGCUUCGGACACUGAGGCAAGGAGAAUCACCAGUUCAGAACUAUCCUCAGCAACUUAGCAAAGCUCUAAGCAACUCAGCGAGAUCCUGUCUCUACAUUAGAAGAAAGGACUUGGGUUGUGGCUCAGUGGUUAAGCACCCUAGGUUUAAUCCCCGGUAAAUCCCCCUCCCCUGAAAGUAGUUUGAGUGUUUCCAUCUAUUUCUCUUUAAAUAUUCUCAAUUUAUCUCAUGUAUUUUGCUAAGCAGGAUGUAGAUGUAAUUAAGGUAUAAUUUUACAGCCUAAAAAGAUCUUCGUUGAAGCUAUAUUGGAAGCAAAUUGAACACUUAUAUAGUAAAUCAAGACUGACUCAUUAAAUGAAAACUUUCAGGAUUAGGUUCUUUAGGAAGCAAAUGAAAAUUUUUUGUGUGUAUGCUUUAAACUAACUACAGAGGAGACACAUGUGAGUACACUGUCUUAAUUGAGUACUUGGAAAUUCCCCCACCCCCAUCGUUUUAAAUGCUGCAAUGACAUAUAAGGUGUUAGGGCCCAGUUUUAGUAAUGUGCUGUGUGUGUUUGAGUAAUGCUGUGUUUGUAAAAGAUAAAGUUCUUACUGGCAUUUUAAGCCCACUGGCGUUGGUAUUUAGGUUGUGUUGUUCUGUAUAUAACUAUUAGCAUGUUAAAAGAAACUGUAUCGCUAUUUGCUAAAUUUGAGUAACUGGUUAUGAAUUUCAUUGAUGCCCAACUUUGAUAAAAAUAAACAAUGAAGGCGGGUGUGUAGUUAAUUGGUAGAGCUUGUGCUUUAUCAUGCAUGAUCCCUGGAUUCAAUUCCCAGAAAACAGAGAAUGACAAAUGUUUCCCCAGUUGACACAAACCCAAUAGUGAUUAUGGGGGAGGGGAGAGACCAUUGUGUAGUUUUUUUAGAUUCGAGAACCUUAAACAUAAUGAAAAGUAACAGAAUUCCUACUGUUUGAGUUUUGAGGUUUCACCAUAUUACCUACAUUUAUGUAAAUUAUUAUUAACGUUUAUUCAUAAAUACUUUAGUCUUAAUCAGAGAUCAGAAAAAGAUUUUCAGUAUCAUUUCCCAGGGUGCUUAACUACCCAGGUGGCCUGAGAAAAGAGUUAACAGUUCCUAUGAGUUCAAAUCAGAAACCUAGGACAUCUAUUGAUUGAUCCACAUCUUUUUAAAACCUAUUAACUUGUUAGUGUACUUUUAGGAGAAGUAAUGGAAUUUGUUUUUUUUUUUAAUCUCAUUUUUUAAAUACUUAAAAACCACUAAUAAAAUGAAUCCGUUUUCUUGAAAAUUAAAAGCUUUAAAAAGUUGUCUCUGAGGAUGUGUCUAUGUACUACUUCAAAAUUAGAAAUUUUAUGUUUAAAAUAUACUCACCCACUUUUUUGGGUAACCAAAAUUUCCGGCACAAUUCAUCUAUUAGAAUACAUAGUAUAUUAAAAUUGAGAUGUAUUCAAGAGAUAUUCAGUAUUAACAGCACAUUCUCAUAAGGUCACUCUAAAUUUGAUAGCCAAUGUAAUUUGUUAAAUUUUAGGGAAAAACUCUAAAUGUAUUACUAUCAGACUCUGAGGAAAUUAAAUGCACAUUGACUUUUUAAACUAUGGAUUGAACUCCUCAGUUUAAUACAAUUUGUGUUUUUGUUAACUAGCAGCAGAAUUUCAGCAUUUGCUACUUACUGGUAGAGAAGAAAAAUCCCACAGCCCUGCCAGUACAGGUUAGUUUAAUCUGUAAGUACCUGAUGUUCCUUUUUUUUCAAACAUAUCCAUAUAACCCACACAAAGAAGAAAGCUGUGCAGUUACUUACUGUGAGUAUAACUAAUAAGAGAAUCCAUUGGACACUUCAAACACUCAAUACUUGGUCCAAAGUAGUUCUAGGUUUGCUAACCUCAGAUGUAAUGAAGGUGUAAUAAUGUGCCUUUAUUGUCUGGUCUGGGUUGAUCCUGAGUAGAUAAGUUGCACGUAAAAGGAAAGGAGAGUGAAAGUUUCAAUUCUCUUUGCCUUUAUUGGUGUAUACUAUAGAAUCUCCAGGGUGCUUUGGGUCCAGGGUUUUUUGCUUAAGCUUCUACAUGGUGGUUCUCAUAUUUAGUUUUUAGGUUUUUUUUUAGUGUAUGAAUCAACCUAAGAAAAAGCAACAAGUUCCCUCAGUGAACUUGGUGAAAAAUGGUGUAUUAUCUUAAGCUAGAAGUGUUUUUUAUAUUGCUUUUUUAUCUUAAAUGUUUUUAGUAACAGUUUUAGAUAAGUGUUUUUUUU